GACGAACGCUGGCGGCGUGCUUAACACAUGCAAGUCGAACGGAAAGGCCCUGCUUUUGUGGGGUGCUCGAGUGGCGAACGGGUGAGUAACACGUGAGUAACCUGCCCUUGACUUUGGGAUAACUUCAGGAAACUGGGGCUAAUACCGGAUAGGAGCUCCUGCUGCAUGUGGGUGGUUGGAAAGUUUCGGCGGUGGGGGAUGGACUCGCGGCUUAUCAGCUUGUUGGUGGGGUAGUGGCUUACCAAGGCUUUGACGGGUAGCCGGCCUGAGAGGGUGACCGGCCACAUUGGGACUGCGAUACGAGCCAGACUCGUACGGGAGGCAGCAGUGGGGAAUAUUGCACAAUGGGCGGAAGCCUGAUGCAGCAACGCCGCGUGCGGGAUGACGGCCUUCGGGUUGUAAACCGCUUUCGCCUGUGACGAAGAGUGAGUGACGGUAAUGGGUAAAGAAGCACCGGCUAACUACGUG
rnacentral:rRNA from 1 species